GAUGAACGCUGGCGGCGUGCCUAAUACAUGCAAGUCGAGCGAACGGACGAGAAGCUUGCUUCUCUGAUGUUAGCGGCGGACGGGUGAGUAACACGUGGAUAACCUACCUAUAAGACUGGGAUAACUUCGGGAAACCGGAGCUAAUACCGGAUAAUAUUAUGAACCGCAUGGUUCAAAAGUGAAAGACGGUCUUGCUGUAACUUAUAGAUGGAUCCGCGCUGCAUUAGCUAGUUGUUAAGGUAACGGCUUACCAAGGCAACGAUGCAUAGCCGACCUGAGAGGGUGAUCGGCCACACUGGAGCUGAGACACGGUCCAGACUCCUACGGGAGGCAGCAGUAGGGAAUCUUCCGCAAUAGGCGAAAGCCUGACGGAGCAACGCCGCGUGAGUGAUGAAGGUCUUCGGAUCGUAAAACUCUGUUAUUAGGGAAGAACAUAUGUGUAAGUAACUGUGCACAUCUUGACGGUACCUAAUCAGAAAGCCACGGCUAACUACGUG
rnacentral:rRNA from 1 species